UACGAAGGGGGCUAGCGUUGCUCGGAAUCACUGGGCGUAAAGGGUGCGUAGGCGGGUCUUUAAGUCAGAGGUGAAAUCCUGGAGCUCAACUCCAGAACUGCCUUUGAUACUGAGGAUCUUGAGUAUAGGAGAGGUGAGUGGAACUGCGAGUGUAGAGGUGAAAUUCGUAGAUAUUCGCAAGAACACCAGUGGCGAAGGCGGCUCACUGGCCCGGUACUGACGCUG
rnacentral:rRNA from 1 species